CCACGGGGGGCUGCAGUGGGGAAUAUUGGACAAUGGGGGGACCCCUGAUCCAGCCAUACCGCGUGGGUGAAGAAGGCCCUCGGGGUGUAAAGCACUUUCAGUGAGGAAGAACGCCUGGUGGUUAAUACCCAUCAGGAAAGACAUCACUCACAGAAGAAGCACCGGCUAACUCCGUGCCAGCAGCCGCGGUAAUACGGAGGGGGCGAGCGUUAAUCGGAAUUACUGGGCGUAAAGCGCGCGUAGGUGGCUUGAUAAGCCGGUUGUGAAAGCCCCGGGCUCAACCUGGGAACGGCAUCCGGAACUGUCAGGCUAGGGUGCAGGAGAGGAAGGUAGAAUUCCCGGUGUAGCGGUGAAAUGCGUAGAGAUCGGGAGGAAUACCAGUGGCGAAGGCGGCCUUCUGGACUGACACUGACACUGAGGUGCGAAAGCGUGGGUAGCAAACAGGAUUAGAUACCCGAGUAGUC
rnacentral:rRNA from 1 species